rnacentral:tRNA from 1 species
GCCUGGGUGGCUCAGUCGGUUAAGCGUCUGACUUCAGCUCAGGUCAUGAUCUCACAGUCUGUGAGUUUGAGCCCCACAUCAGGCU